GGGAAUAUAGUUUAAUUGGCAAAACAAGAAGCUUCAACCUUCAAAUUCUUAGUUCAAGUCUGAGUAUUCCUG
rfam:Verticillium dahliae VdLs.17 supercont1.53 mitochondrial scaffold, whole genome shotgun sequence.